rnacentral:rRNA from 1 species
GACCGAGAGGGCAAGCGUUGCUCGGAAUCACUGGGCGUAAAGGGCGCGUAGGCGGGAUGGCAAGUCGGUCGUGAAAUCCUUCGGCUCAACCGAAGAACGUCGGCCGAUACUGCCGUUCUUGAGGGAUGCAGAGGAGAUUGGAAUUCCCGGUGUAGCGGUGAAAUGUGUAGAGAUCGGGAGGAACACCGGUGGCGAAGGCGGGUCUCUGGGCAGCGCCUGACGCUGAGGCGCGAAAGCGUGGGGAGCAAACGGG